rnacentral:rRNA from 1 species
GUGCCAGCCGCCGCGGUAAUACAGAGGUCCCGAGCGUUGUUCGGAUUCACUGGGCGUAAAGGGUGCGUAGGUGGUGGUGUAAGUUUGAUGUGAAAUCUCCGGGCUCAACCCGGAAAUGGCAUUGAAUACUACAUUGCUGGAGGAUUGGAGGGGGGACUGGAAUUCUCGGUGUAGCAGUGAAAUGCGUAGAUAUCGAGAGGAACACCAGUGGCGAAGGCGAGUCCCUGGACAAUACCUGACACUGAGGCACGAAAGCCGGGGGAGCAAACAGGAUUAGAAACCCUAGUAGUCC